rnacentral:rRNA from 1 species
GAUGAACGCUAGCGGCAGGCCUAAUACAUGCAAGUCGAACGGUGUCUUCGGACAUAGUGGCGCACGGGUGCGUAACACGUAUGCAACCUACCUUACAUUGGGGGAUAGCCUUUCGAAAGGGAGAUUAAUAUCGCAUAAGACAGUAGCUGGGCAUCCAGCAGCUGUUAAAGAUUUAUCGAUGUAAGCUGGGCAUGCGUCCAAUUAGCUAGUUGGUGAGGUAACGGCUCACCAAGGCAAUGAUUGGUAGGGGAACUGAGAGGUCAAUCCCCCACACUGGCACUGAGAUACGGGCCAGACUCCUACGGGAGGCAGCAGUAGGGAAUAUUGGGCAAUGGACGCAAGUCUGACCCAGCCAUGCCGCGUGCAGGAUGAAGGCGUUAUGCGUUGUAAACUGCUUUUAUACAGGAAGAAACGACUCUUGCGAGAGGCAUUGACGGUACUGUAUGAAUAAGCACCGGCUAACCCCGUGCCAGCAGCCGCAGUAAGAC